rnacentral:rRNA from 1 species
AACGAACGCUGGCGGCAGGCUUAACACAUGCAAGUCGAACGCUCCUAGCAACAGGGGAGUGGCAGACGGGUGAGUAACGCGUGGGAAUCUACCCAGCCCUUCGGAAUAGCUCCGGGAAACUGGAAUUAAUACCGAGUACGCCCUACGGGGGAAAGAUUUAUCGGGGUUGGAUGAGCCCGCGUUGGAUUAGCUAGUUGGUGAGGUAAUGGCCCACCAAGGCGACGAUCCAUAGCUGGUCUGAGAGGAUGAUCAGCCACACUGGGACUGAGACACGGCCCAGACUCCUACGGGAGGCAGCAGUGGGGAAUAUUGCGCAAUGGGCGGAAGCCUGACGCAGCGACGCCGCGUGGGGGAUGACGGCCUUCGGUUGUAAC